UUGGCAAAGAGUAACUCAUUUUGAUGCCUCUCGCUACCCCUGGCCUUAGUUUUAAAGGAAUCAUGCGACACACUCGCACUCCACUACCCCAUCCCAUGGAAAAACGCUCCCACCAUCGAGGUGUUGACCAAAAUUUCGCUAUGUGCAUGAGACACACACUCGCACUCCUCCAGCCCUCCACAGCUGAACGCUCCCACCGUUGCGAAGUUUGCGAGAAUUUUUGCUCUGAGCGUGAGAUCCUGAAGCACCAGAGAUGACACUAUGUGUAAAGACGAUCAUAAUUCGGUAUGGUCAAAAUGCGUCGAUUGUCGUUUCAUUUAUCUGGUAAUGAUGUAUUCACUUCAUCAAAAUUUUAAACGUUCACAACUAGACUGAUAACAAUAUUUGAAUUUUUAAUCAGAAUAAAACCAAUUCAUUUGAAGCAAAAUAAAUUCCAUUAUACUUUAUUUUGACCAUAUGAUCAACACUUGUACAUAGUGCCAUUUACUUUGUGUUCUUCACUCUCGCGCUGUGUUUUGAUCGUUCGAAACUCAUUGCCAGAACGAAUGCAAAUUUCAUAUGGGAAUGAUCGGUGCCGGAAGAGGCAGCGAAAAUUAUGAAAUGAUAAUAGAAAAGUGGUUAAGUUAAUCGUGAAAGAUGUCAACGCAGACGUAAAUGUAGUAUGUUUUGUUACAUGAUCUACGGCUAUUUCAUUACCAAAGCUCCUGAUAACAGAUCAAAGCAGAUGGAUCGGGCAUACAGAGUCGCCGUUUAAUUUAAAAUAUCUGCGUGAUCGGUAAGUUUUAAAUAGUACUAGUUUUGUUCACCAUUCUAAUGCUCGAUUUAUCUUUCAUUCCUCAAGCAAACGCAUCAAACAGCAAGUGUUUUUCCUUCCAACAGCACGCACCAUCGGUGGUGCAGCAGCUAACGUUUUGUUCGCCUAGCGCGCACCAUCAAGAAUUGAUAUUUUGCCAAACAGUACUGUGAAUAAAAAACUGCACACUUACUGUAGGAA